AGAAAAACAGUGAGUGUAUGUACUCAUUUAUAUAACGCAUAGAUUUGGCGUAGCUUUUGCUGUCUCAGUACCGAGGUUACAGUGUUUUUCACUCUCUCUGCUUCACAGCUUUCCCUCCAGAUCUGAUCCCAACAACCAGAGUGUAGGGUUAUCUAAGAAGAAGUUGGAGAACAUG